CCUACGGGUGGCAGCAGUGGGGGAUAUUGCACAAUGGGGGAAACCCUGAUGCAGCGACGCCGCGUGGGCGAAGAAGGAUUUCGGGAUGUAAAGCCCUAUCAGCAGGGAAGAAGAAAUGACGGUACGUGAGUAAGGAGCACGGGCUAAAUACGUGCCAGAAGCCGGGGUAAUACGUAUGGUGCAAGCGUUAUACGGAUUUACUGGGUGUAAAGGGAGGGAAGGGGGCACGGCAAGCCUGAUGUGAAAGCCCGCGCCCCAACAGAGGGACUGCAUGGGGAACUACCGAGCUGGAGUGCCGGAGAGGUAGGCGGAAUGCCUAGUGUAGCGGUGAAAUGCGUAGAUAUUAGGAGGAACACCAGUGGCGAAGGCGGCCUACUGGACCGUGACUGACGCUGAGGCUCGAAAGCGUGGGGAGCAAACAGGAUUAGAUACCCUAGUAGUC
rnacentral:rRNA from 1 species